rnacentral:rRNA from 1 species
AACGAACGCUGGCGGCAGGCUUAACACAUGCAAGUCGAGCGAGACCUUCGGGUCUAGCGGCGGACGGGUGAGUAACGCGUGGGAACGUGCCCUUCUCUACGGAAUAGCCCCGGGAAACUGGGAGUAAUACUGUAUACGCCCUUUGGGGGAAAGAUUUAUCGGAGAAGGAUCGGCCCGCGUUGGAUUAGGUAGUUGGUGGGGUAAUGGCCCACCAAGCCGACGAUCCAUAGCUGGUUUGAGAGGAUGAUCAGCCACACUGGGACUGAGACACGGCCCAGACUCCUACGGGAGGCAGCAGUGGGGAAUCUUAGACAAUGGGGGCAACCCUGAUCUAGCCAUGCCGCGUGAGUGAUGAAGGCCUUAGGGUUGUAAAGCUCUUUCAGCUGGGAAGAUAAUGACGGUACCAGCAGAAGAAGCCCCGGCUAACUCCGUG